CGCAGGAGUCGAGGAGCAAAAACCAACCCACCCAUGACUCACAGGGCCCUGGAAGCAGAACGAGGCGCCCCAACCCAGACACUUGGGCUGCAUUGGAGAGGACAGAGUUGCCGUCCUGACCUGCUGUGAGCAGUGUGGCUGUGGCAAGAGACAGAUCAGCUCUGGGGGGAAGCCUCAAGCGAUGAAGCCAGGACACAGUGCAGAACGGCUGUUUGAUGGGGAUGGGGAGACUGGGAGCAGCUGUGCGGAAGUGCAGAGGAAAAAGGAGCUCAGCCUGCCCUCAGGAAGCUCCGGAUUCAUGGGAGGAAGGUGCUAUCCAUGUCACCAGUGCUGUGUAGGCUGCCGUGGAAGAGAAGAUUCACUCGGGAGACCCCUGGACAUCCUGGGAAGAAAGCAGGACACUCUGUGUAACCAGAAGCCUUGGACCCACUACCCACUGCCAUGGAUCCUCGAACAGGCCUUUUGCCCUCUCGAGAAUUAGCUUCUCUGAGCCUUUUUUGGUCCUGCCAGGGCCCCAAGCAUUGUUGGGAAAUUGGGGAGUCCCUUGGCUCUGCGAUGAGUCAUUGGCGCUGGCAGAGAGAAGCCUUCCCAUUUGCAUUCACGCAAAUGAAGUGGGGAAAUCCUAGGUUUGGAAACUUAGACCGUGAGCGCUUCUCUUUUCCAAGUUUCCUAUAACCCAUAGAAGUCAGGGCUUAAAUCAGAAGAGCUUCCUGACUUUGCCCUUAUUAUGAUCCUGAAUAGAUACUGCCCUCUGCAUGUUAGUUUCCUCAUCUGUAAAACAGACUCACAUGCUAAUUGUGAGGCUCACCUGAAGUGAGAGGGGUGAAAGGUGUCUGUAAACUUGAAAGUCCUAUGCAGAUGGUGCUGCUAGGAGGGUGACAGCAUGAGCCUGGUUACUGUCAUCCCUCAGACCUAUGGCUUCUCCUGGAGCCUCACCACCACUAGGUCAUAGCUGGAGGCUGCCUGGGUUCAUCUUGUGACAUCACAGCGGACACACAAGCCCGGGCAGAAAAAUGAAAAUGCUCUAUAGAUGCUCCCGAAAUGUGGUCCCUACGUGUUGCCAUGACCAGAGAACUUUCUGGAAACAGCACCCAAGGCAUUGGGUAGCUUUUCUUUCCCAUAAAUAGCAUCUCCUGCUGUGUGGCCCAGAGUCUCCCGAGAAUCUCUGCUGCCCAGAUCCCCCUUCCAGCUCCUCCUGUCAGUUGGGGGGCAGGCUUGGCAAUGCUGGAGAACAACUGGCACCUGCAGACAUCAGCAACGGCUCGGUCUGAGGUGCACUCUGGCUUGGUGCAAAUGAGCCCAGCCCCUGGGCUCCUAAUAUGGCUUCUCCAGCCUUCUUUCCAGGAGGCUGGCUCAUUUCUCAGUCUCAAUCCUGGAAUGACAGAAGGUUCUCUCCUCUAAAAACCCACUUUUCUAGGCACUCUAUGUUGAAAUCUCAAACUCCUGGACACAAUCCAAAGGUGAAGCUUCCUGAUACACCUGCCCCUCCCAUUUUGAACACAGCAUUCCAGCCUCUUGGCAGCUUGGGAUUGGUUCGUAGCUGCAUUGCGGCACUUUCCUCCUCUGGCCAGGUGUCAUUGCCAUCUGGGCAUGUGGUCAUCUCCUGUACAUGACUGUGACCCCUACAGGAUAAGGAGCCUCUCCCUCUUCCUGCACCUUCCACAGUGAACCAAGCACUGUGUGGGAUGAGAGACUCAGGCUUUGAGACUCACUCAAUACUCGCAGUACUGCCACUCGUGGUUUGGUAUUGAGCAGUAGUUUGUAAACCAGUUUCAUACGUAUAUUUUUUUUAUUUAAACUUUCCUGAAAUGUUGUCUUCUGCAUCAGGGAGAUGGCAGGAAUGAGAAUGACUGUCAGAGCCUUUCCUUCCCAGGUCCCAGCACAGUGCAGCACGUCGGAGACCCUGCGGCACGUCGGAGACCCUGCAGAAGGGCCUAUUCAGUGAGUUCUCAAGGGUCGCUGGUGGACGCUCCCCUGCACUCAAGUCACCAAAUCCCACAGAGGGUUGGAGAAGAGGGGGCGGCUUUGCAGUGAGACAGACCUGCGUUCGAAUUCCAGCUUUGGUUCAAAUGACGAGCUGUGUGCCCUGGGGAGCACUUCACCAGCUGUCGAUAGCUCCAGUGAGAAAUGAACCAGAAGAGACACGUUUGACCUGCUGUGGAUUCAGAUCCAACCACACGUGUGGGACUUGGGAGACAGGCACGUGGGUGUGCACGUUGUCAGCAGGGGCUGGCUUCAGACUGAGGCUGAACACAUACAGGAGCCCAGACCAGGUGGCCUUGGCCCUUGUAGGCGAUGGUGAGAAUACUGAUUUGUAUUAAGAGGAAUGAAAGAUUUGGAGAGGAAGCAAUUCUGAUUUUCACCAUCAAAUGACAAGAACUGAUCUUCUGCCUUUAAGUAGUUAUAAUUAGGUCAUUGCAAAAUUAACAAAAUUAAUAAGCUUAUAUCUGGGAGACCUCUUAAGACAGCAGUGUCCAGCUGGGUAAUGGCACGGAUUAUGCCCACACAGCCUGGCCACUCUGUUGGGGGAGCAGCCCCCGCUGGAGCAGCCUAGGGAGAGGAUGCAGGCCUUCCCCAUCAGCUCAGCAGCUUAUGGCUCAGUGGGUUUAGAUGCUGGUAGUAAGCUCCUCACCCUCUUGCCCAAUGUCUACAAAGGGUUGUUUUGUUCAUGAUGUCCAGAGGUCUAGUUGCUCAUGACAGGUGGAUAAGUCCAGUGACUCCACUGGGGCCUGAGGCAGAAUUGUUGCGGCACCUCCUCGUUUCUCCCGUUCCCUCCCCUAUCCCAGGCAGGUCCUGGCUAAAGACGUCCUUGGCCAGCUGGGUGUCAGGGGUAGGAUCUUGCCCCUCAACUCCUGGCCACAGGGGGACUUUCUCCUUAUCUACAGCCCAGGCCAAUAGUCUCUUUCUCUGUCCUUAAGGGAUUUAGGGAAUAGCCGGUCCUCUCUCACCCUCGAAUGGAUCACAUGUUAUUGAUCUCAUGUGUCACCACCCAGGGUAGGUUUCUGUGGCCUGCAUCCAACUCCAGGCAGGCGCUGCUCCUCGUCUCCCAGGCACCACAGGCAUUUUCCUCCGUGUGCCCUCUCAGAGGCUGUGGUGGUGUGUGUGGAAAGAGCCUGCACCCCUUCUGUGUCAACUUCAUCACCAAUUAAGUAAAGCUUGGCAUCCUCAGAGGAAAGAUUUUAUUAUAAAUUCUUAACAUAUUUAGAAAUAUCAGCAUAAUCAUUAUAAUGCAUUAUUCAGUUAGUUAAAUGUGCUUUAAAAAAAAACAUGAAAUAUAUCUUCAUUGUACAGGCAUCUGUUGUUUCUUGCAAACGAUUAUCUGUCACUGAAUCAUCAAUUUUUUAUUUUAUUGUGUGUCUAAGGCUAUUUGUUCUAAUUAAGGCGCAUGCAUGGUGCCAAGCAGGCUUGCCUGACUGUGGAAGGGGCUCCAGUCCUGCUUUGUCUAACAGUCCUGAAUGUGCUGGAUGGGCAACCCCAGGA
rnacentral:lncRNA from 1 species